rnacentral:rRNA from 1 species
AGCGAACGCUGGCGGCAGGCCUAAUACAUGCAAGUCGAACGCACCUUCGGGUGAGUGGCGGACGGGUGAGUAACGCGUGGGAACGUGCCCUUUGGUUCGGAACAACACAGGGAAACUUGUGCUAAUACCGAAUGUGCCCUUCGGGGGAAAGAUUUAUCGCCAUUGGAGCGGCCCGCGUUGGAUUAGCUAGUUGGUGGGGUAAAAGCCUACCAAGGCUACGAUCCAUAGCUGGUCUGAGAGGAUGAUCAGCCACACUGGGACUGAGACACGGCCCAGACUCCUACGGGAGGCAGCAGUAGGGAAUCUUGCGCAAUGGGCGAAAGCCUGACGCAGCCAUGCCGCGUGAAUGAUGAAGGUCUUAGGAUUGUAAAAUUCUUUCACCGGGGAAGAUAAUGACGGUACCCGGAGAA